rnacentral:tRNA from 1 species
AAUGGACCACGUUCCUCCUUAGA